rnacentral:tmRNA from 1 species
GGGGUCGUUUGGUUUUGACAGCAUGUAUGUGGAUUUGUAAGCAUGUCGGAGGUUGUGAGACGGUUCCGUUAAAAACUAACUCUCUUAGCCAAUAAAAGGCAACUCUUAUGCAAUCGCUGCUUAACCGCUGCGGUUCCCGAAGCAUAAACCAGGUUUAUUGCCUCGGGUGUUUCCCCGGAAGCCCUGCUUUUCGGCGUCCGGUACGAAGCAUCGUAAAUGAAAAGAUAGCCGAUGCACGCUUCAUUGCAAAGGCGAAAUUUUAGAAGAUACGCAAGGGCGCAGCCUGCCGAGUACUUUUCCCUUGCCGACAAAUAAACUCAGGCUAAGCAUGUAGAAAGCAUCUUUGCAACACGUUUGGACGCGGGUUCGAAUCCCGCCGGCUCCACUA